GGGUGUGGGCAGGUGAGAGGGCAGGUGAGAGGGCAGGUGAGAGGGCAGGUGUGAGGGCAGGUGUAAUGAGGGCAGGUGUAAUGAGGGCAGGUGAGAGGGCAGGUGUAAUGAGGGCAGGUGUAAAGAGGGCAGGUGAGAGGGCAGGUGUAAUGAGGGCAGGUGAGAGCAGGGGUGAGGGCAGGUGU